rnacentral:rRNA from 1 species
UACGUAGGUGGCAAGCGUUGUCCGGAUUUAUUGGGCGUAAAGCGAGCGCAGGCGGUUCCUUAAGUCUGAUGUGAAAGCCCACGGCUCAACCGUGGAAGGUCAUUGGAAACUGGGGAACUUGAGUGCAGAAGAGGAGAGUGGAAUUCCAUGUGCAGCGGUGAAAUGCGUAGAUAUAUGGAGGAACACCAGUGGCGAAGGCGACUCUCUGGUCUGUAACUGACGCUGAGGCUCGAAAGCGUGGGGAGCAAACAGG